rnacentral:misc_RNA from 1 species
CGACAAGAGCUUGUGUGUUAAAAAGAAUCUAAUGGCUGUACAAACCAGAGUUCAUAUGCUCUUGAAUUAUUUCAUAAUCAUUCGAUGCACCCAGAAGUUGUCUAUGUACUUGAAAUUCAAUAUAGAUAAAUCUCAAAUGUUUGAAAUAGAUAAAUCUCAGAUGUUUGAAGGUUGACAUUCUGUUUUUCAAGUUAUAAAGCAACCUAGGAG